rnacentral:rRNA from 1 species
ACGGAAGGCAGCAGUAGGGAAUCUUCGGCAAUGGGGGCAACCCUGACCGAGCAACGCCGCGUGAGUGAAGAAGGUUUUCGGAUCGUAAAGCUCUGUUGUAAGAGAAGAAUGUGUGUGAGAGUGGAGAGUUCACACAGUGACGGUAACUUACGAGAAAGGGACGGCUAACUCCGUGCCAGCAGCCGCGGUAAUACGUAGUUCCCGAUCGUUGUCCGGAUUUAUUGGGUGUAAAGCGAGCGCAGGCGGUUUAAUAAGUCUGAGGUUAAAGGCAGUGGCUUAACCAUUGAUCGCUUUGGAAACUGUUAGACUUGAGUGCAGAAGGGGAGAGUGGAAUUCCAUGUGUAGCGGUGAAAUGCGUAGAUAUAACGAGGAACACCGGUUGCGAAGGCGGCUCUCUGGUCUGUAACUGACGCUGAGGCUCGAAAGCGUGGGGAGCAAACAGGAUUAGAUACCCUGGUA